AGAGCGAACGCUGGCGGCAGGCUUAACACAUGCAAGUCGAGCGCCCCGCAAGGGGAGCGGCAGACGAGAGAGUAACACGUGGGAACGUACCUUUCGGUUCGGAACAACCCAGGGAAACUUGGGCUAAUACCGGAUACGCCCGUAAGGGGAAAGAUUUAUCGCCGGAAGAUCGGCCCGCGUCUGAUUAGCUAGUUGGUGAGGUAACGGCUCACCAAGGCGACGAUCAGUAGCUGGUCUGAGAGGAUGAUCAGCCUCACUGGGACUGAGACACGGCCCAGACUCCUACGGGAGGCAGCAGUGGGGAAUAUUGGACAAUGGGCGCAAGCCUGAUCCAGCCAUGCCGCGUGGGUGAUGAAGGCCCUAGGGUCGUAAAGCCCUUUCGGCGGGAAGAUAAUGACGGUACCCGCAGAAGAAGCCCCGGCUAACUUCGCGCCAGCAGCCGC
rnacentral:rRNA from 1 species